ACGAACGCUGGCGGCGUGCCUAACACAUGCAAGUCGAGCGAUGAAGUUCUUCGGAACGGAUUAGCGGCGGACGGGUGAGUAACGCGUGAGCAAUCUGCCUUACACAAAGGGAUAGCCUCGGGAAACUGGGAUUAAUACCAUAUGACACUUGGUAAUCGCAUGAGGACCAAGUCAAAGAUUUUAUCGGUGUAAGAUGAGCUCGCGUCUGAUUAGCUAGUUGGUGGGGUAAAGGCCUACCAAGGCGACGAUCAGUAGCCGGCCUGAGAGGGUGAACGGCCACACUGGAACUGAGACACGGUCCAGACUCCUACGGGAGGCAGCAGUGGGGAAUAUUGCACAAUGGGCGCAAGCCUGAUGCAGCGACGCCGCGUGAGCGAAGACGGCCUUAUGGGUUGUAAACUUCUUUACUAUGCGACUAACUAGAUUUACGAGAUAAUUCUAUAGAAUGUAGCAUAGCAAAAAGCACCGGCUAACUCCGUG
rnacentral:rRNA from 1 species